UACGGGGGGGGCAAGCGUUGUUCGGAAUUACUGGGCGUAAAGGGCGCGUAGGCGGCCUUCUAAGUCGGACGUGAAAUCCCUCGGCUUAACCGAGGAACUGCGUCCGAUACUGAAAGGCUUGAAUCCGGGAGAGGGAUGUGGAAUUCCAGGUGUAGCGGUGAAAUGCGUAGAUAUCUGGAGGAACACCGGUGGCGAAGGCGGCAACCUGGACCGGUAUUGACGCUGAGGCGCGAAAGCUAGGGGAGCGAACGGG
rnacentral:rRNA from 1 species